CCUACGGGAGGCAGCAGUAGGGAAUCUUGCGCAAUGGGCGAAAGCCUGACGCAGCCAUGCCGCGUGAAUGAUGAAGGUCUUAGGAUUGUAAAAUUCUUUCACCGGUGACGAUAAAGACGGUACCCGGAGAAGAAGCCCCGGAUAACUUCGUGCCAGCAGCCGCGGUAAUACGAAGGGGGCUAGCGUUGCUCGGAAUUACUGGGCGUAAAGGGCGCGUAGGCGGAUCGUUAAGUCAGAGGUGAAAUCCCGGAGCUCAACUUCGGAACUGCCUUUGAUACUGGCGAUCUUGAGUGUGAGAGAGGUAUGUGGAACUCCGAGUGUAGAGGUGAAAUUCGUAGAUAUUCGGAAGAACACCAGUGGAGAAGGGGACAUACUGACUCAUUACUGACGAAGAGGCGGGAAAGAGUGGGGAGCAAACAGGAUUAGAUACCCGGGUAGUCCACGCCGUAAACGAUGAUUGCUAGUUGUCGGGCUGCAUGCAUUUCGGUGAAGCAGAUAACACAUUAAGCAAUCCGC
rnacentral:rRNA from 1 species